UUCUUCGGAUGAAGAGAUUUGUGACUGAGUGGCGGACGGGUGAGUAACGCGUGGGUAACCUGCCUCAUAUAGGGGGAUAACAGUUAGAAAUGACUGCUAAUACCGCAUAAGACCACAGUAGCCGCAUGGCUCAGUGGGAAAAACUCCGGUGGUAUGAGAUGGACCCGCGUCUGAUUAGCUAGUUGGCAGGGCAACGGCCUACCAAGGCGACGAUCAGUAGCCGACCUGAGAGGGUGACCGGCCACAUUGGGACUGAGACACGGCCCAAACUCC
rnacentral:rRNA from 1 species